UGAAUUCAUUUUCUUGAAAGAGACUCUCAACGAUAUUUGUUACAUAGUCAUAGCCCCCCUUUAUUGACCUCAACUAUAUCAGUGACUUUUACAUGACAUUAUUCAAUGUUUUUGCUUCUCCUUAUAUCUAUAAAAAGGCCAUAUAAAAGGGAUUAUAUAGAGAAAUAAAGAGAGAGGGAGUUUCAUCGUAAAAUGACUAUGCCUUUGUUCAAUAUCUUGAGCUGUUUUUCAGAGCAAUCCGAGAGGGGCAGUCGAUACAUAUGCGAUGGCGAUGUGUGUUAUUUGCGCGAUCCGAAGGCAACGAGCGCCAAGAAAAAAAACGAGCGAAAGCGAAGCGUUCGGAUUUCAUUUUCGCGGCUUUCAACAAGAAAUGAUUAAUUUGAUGAUCUUCUAAAUUUUCUUGUCAAUAAGGGCUUAGUUGAAUAAGCCGUUAGCACACACUGUUGAUAGAAUCUUAUUGAUAAUCUCUAGAGCAAAAAUCAGGGUCAGAAGGUGCAGUGGUAACACUAAUCCUUUGUAUGGUGAUUGCUGCAAUUGAUGUUGGGAUAUAAGAAAUUUGAUCUUUCAGAAUUAUUCUUUUUAUAUGCAUUUAUAUAUACUUUGUACAUGUAGACUAUAAAAAGUAGAGAUUAUCUAAUAUAGAAAGAGGAUUUUAUUCAAGUGGUAAGAGCAAAGGUUUUUUAGAUCAAUGAUCCAAGUUCGAGUUUCAUUUAAAAGAAGGGUGAAAUUCCAAAAAAAAAACAAGAAAAAAAGAGAUGAGAGAUUGAUAGAUUAAUUGAUAUUUUUGUUGAAAAAAGUUAACUGUUCGAAGGAGGAAAUUGUCUUCGUUCUUUCAUGAAAGCAAGAAAAUUAAAUUUGGAGGAGAUUUCAAUUUAGAGAUUGUUUGAUUUUAAUAAAUAUUUUAGCAGAUUUUAAUAAAAAUUGAUAAAUUGUAUGGUUGAAAAUUGAUAAAAAUUUUAUCUCAUGAAAUGUGUGAUAAACUUAAGUUUGAUUAGUUAAGGUUAAUAAAGUUUUACUUUUAUUGAACAAACACUUAUUUGUAGUUGCACGUUUUCAAGUUCAUACAUAUUUUAUUACAAUUCUAAAAAAUUUUCCUUCAAAAUUUAUUACCUUCAUUAAAAGUACAGGCUUCAAAUUAAUGACUACAUUAAAAUACUAUUUUUGGGGAUACUUUUACCCUCGAAAAACAAUCCAUGAUUCGCUAAUGUUUAUAAUUGAUCGAACCAAUUUUUAUUCACGUAUUUUCGUAAGAUCCACGAACAUUAUUCACUAACUCAUAAUUCAAUUUUUUUUUUUUUUUUUUGCCAGAAUAUGUUAGUUUACUUGGCGACGCUGCAUGAAGACCUAGGAUAAUAAUACAUUGGCUAGGGUGGAUGCUAGGGGUGGACAAAAUGUCUAAACCAGAGCCAAACCAAACCAAGCGGUUCAGUUCGGUUCGGUUCUAUCAUAAAAAUUAAUGGUUUUGGUUCUUUGAACCGAGAACCAUUUGAUUUUGGUUCAGUUCUAGUUCAAAAAUCAGAAUAAGAACCAAAUGUAAUAUUUAAUUUUAUAUAUAAUAAUUAGUGGAGACCCUAAUUUUAUAUUAAUUGAAGAAAGCCUAUUAAUUGAAUAUAGUUUAUUAAUCAAUUUUGGGUCAUUAAAGACAAACAACUCAUCAGUUGUCUACACUCUAAUUUUGUAUUCAAUUGAAUUAUUUCUCCUUCACUCCUUUUCAAAUUAUAUAACGUUGCAGCAUACUGGUACCACAUUUCAUUAAAUCAGUGGAGUGUCAUUUAAGACUAGAAAAUGAAAGUGGUCAGUUGCUUAAAAAGUCUCUAAACUCUUUUUUUAC
rnacentral:lncRNA from 1 species